ensembl:lncRNA novel transcript, sense intronic to ZNF638
CUUUUUUUUUUUUUUUUUUUUUUUUUUUUUAACAUUAGAGAAAAAGAUGUGGGAUAUGUCCAGAAUACUAAACAUUUGUUUUGGAGUGAACUGAUGCUGAGAAAAUACUAUUUGUUGUUUUUGUUGUGUUUUUUUUUAGAGACAGGGUCUUGCUAUGUUGCUCAGGCUGGCCUUGAACUCCUGGGCACAAGCUGUUUUCCCACCUCAGCUUCCUGUGUAGCUGGUACUACAUGCACUUGUUUUGUUUUGUUUUAAAGCACUUGUGGUUGCCAAUUCAUUAUGAAUAUGAUACUUUUGUUUAUAACUAAACUAUUUAAAUACUGUUUAGAGGAAACUCGUGGAUACAUUCAUAAUUUAAUAAUUCACACUGUACUCAUUCUGUUGAUAUGUAAACAGAUUUUAUUUAUCAUCUGAUUAAAGCCACAAAUAAGAAUGCUAAGUGAAAUUUUUCUAAUUCAUUAACAUUAGGAAGUAAACAGUUGGCCUCUGAAAUAAACACUAAUCUUUAGUAUUGUGAAGUCCCAGUUUAAGGUUUCUCAGAAUGUUUGUCUUUCAGUGUUAACGUUUGUUCUAAUGCCCAGCUUUUAUUGUAUGCUUUUUCUGAAGGCUGUGAAAUUCUGGUAUUACUGGGAUAUUGGGGCUGGAGGGAGGAGUGGCAAAUGAGAUAUCUGUAUCUCAAAUGCCUUUCUGGAAUCCUUUUCUGUUCCAUUUCCCAGAAUGUGGCUGUUUUCAUUUGAUCGUUACAAAGAGUGGUUGUUUAACUUUGGUGUUAAUGUCAUUUAUUUGACAUUUCAAACUGUCUUUUCAAACUAACUUGAUCAAUAUUGAGGCUUUUUUCCCAUAUUAGCCAGAAAGCAGAUACUAGUUUUGGUAAAUGACUUCUCUAAAGAAAACACUAUGAUUUGAAAAGACUAGCACACAAGGACAAAUAUGGAAUUAAAUAAUUCUUCUGAGUAGACCUGUGUUCUCUGUUUCAAGUAUGGAACUGCAUAAUGGUUCAGUUUGUAUAUAAGAUAAUAACUUUUUUAUUGAAAAACUUGUGAAGGGGAAAGUCUUGCUAUAUCCUUGAGCCAGGAAUCAAGGUCUCCAUUGUUAUCCUAGCCCCAUAGAUGUUUUUACUUAGCCCUAAGUUUCUAAAGUUUUAUGUAGGGUUAAUAUGCAGUACAGUAAUGAGGCAGGAAUUUGAAUAUUUUCUUCAUUAUUGGAAAUGAGUCUUGUAAUUUAAAGACAAAAGCUUGUUUUGAGAAGUAAUAUUCAUAUACCUGCUGUAACUGUGAAUGUCACUGCUCUUUUCUGGUUGUGCUUUGCCACAAAUUUUAUUGUGAAUUGUAAAGAUUUGAAACUCUUAAAAUUAGCCAUUUAUAUUUUGAAAAAAAGGGGUGUGAUUAUUUUAAAAAAAAAACAUUUUAGCAUGCAAAGAAUAACUUGCACAAUGGAUAGAAUAUAUAUUGAUUAAGGUUUAGGGUCAAGAGGUAUUUCUCUAAUCUGGUAGAAAAGUUUUCUCCUCAGGAUGUAAUCUUUGGGGCAUGAGGGAAGACCAGUUUGGUUCAAAUGAUUUAAGACCCUGAUGUGGUAGCACAACUUUCUUAAAUAUGGUUAACAUCUCAGCACACAGAUAUACACCAUCUUGUGUUGUUAACUGAAGGGUACAUGGCCACCCUCUAAGAAGCAGGUCAAAAGGGAUGGCUCAUCCUCUCCUUCCUUAAAAAAUAGGAGAAGAAAGUCAGUACUUUUUAAUAAUCAGGUAUUGAUAUGAUAGGAUCACUCUCUGGUGUCUUUCUCCAAUCUGCUGCUUCUCAUUAUAUGAAUAUAUUUGGUAAAUUUUAAUUUGCAUUGAUAGCAUGUUGGGCAUUGUUUUUGGAAGCUAAGGUUUUCCUUGUUCUUCAAGAAAACCUCUGAUUUGUGGAAUAUUGAUAUAAAAAUAACUUAUUCUGUGUCUACCUCGGUGAAAGUACUGGAAUUAUAGGACUACUCACUUUUCAUAUACUUUAGAUUUGGGAAGACCAUGAUGAAAUAAGAUGAAUUACAUAUACUUAGCCAUGUAUUUCCUCCAUUUCUUCUGAAUAUUACUUACACAUUUAAGUUAAAUAUUAGAAUUAUACAUUAUUCUCUUGAAUUGGGAAGGUUUAUUUUUUAAUGCAUUUCUUCUUAUAGCCAAAGGCAAAUAUUUAUAAGACUGUAUGUUCACAUAAGGUGAUUAUAUCAGGUUUUGUCACUAGCUUUAAAUCCUCAAUAGAGUAUAUAAAGAAUACUUUCCAAAUAAUGUUCUAAGUAUUAUCAUUAAUAAAUAUGGUUCUUGGGUAAUUAAAAAAAUAUUUUACAUCCAAAAAAAAAAUAAAAA